GUCCCGCCCUAAUCUGUUAAUUGGAAGCCAUGGUUGGGAAAAGCUGCCUUGAGCUGUACGCGAUGGCCAUCUGAUUUCAAGCCUCUGGACAACUGAACUUAUCGCCCGCGGUAUCCAGCGUAAUUGCUGUUGAUGCCACAUUCCCGCUGACUUGGAAGUGCAUGGAACUCGUCCUCUGGACUCUGGACUGGACUCCGGAAACUGUGCCGGGAGUAGCCGAACCACAUUAAGGGAAAUCUGAGUGUUUUUGGUGAAUUACUGUGAGUAUGAAAUGACUAAUUUUGGAAUUUAAUUUUAUGUAUAAUGUUAGGCUUUAAUUUUAUGCCUCAAAUUUCCUUGCACACAUACGUGUCUCCAUUUGUGUUCUAAUGUUUGUAACAGUAAAUUAAAUUCCAAAGGUAUUUAAGUAAAUGGUUAUGUUUGAAGGCAUAUUCAAGUUAGAGUUUACUCGAAAGCCGGGAGAUCGAGUUAGCUUUAAGCCUGUCCGUGUAUGAUGUAUAUUCUUUGAGUUAUAUUUGUUGUAAUUUAGAAUUAAUUUGAAGGCUCAAAUUUUCUGAAUACUUGUCUGCACUAAACUUUGCAACAGUUAAUUGAAUUCCCAAAUUUAUUAAUGUGAUUAUAGUUAUGAUUGAGGCAUAUUUAUAUUAUUUAAGCUGCCAUUAUUUAGAUGAAUGUCAAUUAAAUUUUCUAGGCAAUUAAUUUAUUGGCUGGCAUAAUUUUAACUUGAAUGUUCUCUGAUAGACAUUGUGUAGAUUUAUAAUUCACCAUUUCCGAAUGCCUUAUUAUGUUUUCGAAUUCUCAUUAGCAGCAGACGGUACCAUCGUAAAUUAUACUUUCGAGGUUAUUUCCUUUUCCACUGUGGUUUUGGACUCAAUCCUGCUGCGCAUUCUGGACUUAAAAUAAUUAAUUGUAAUAUGCUGAAAACCAAAAUCAGUUCAGCCAGUAACCGGUGAAACGUUAAAAUAAUUUUUUUUUAUCAAUCUGCAGACGUUUCUCCGGUGAUUGGCUAGACUAAUAUGUGUUUCCAGCUCAUCAAAUGAAAUCAUUUUAAGGGUUGCUUGCACAGCAGCAUGAUCAUGUCCUUGAUCUCAGUGGAAUCUCAAUAAAAUAUAGAUUAACAGCUGGUCCCAUUUAUUGGCAGACCAAGGGGCAUUCGCAACUGGGGAAUUUGAGCAAAAUUUAAGAUGUAAUUUUCCAAGUGUUGCAGCAUUCCAUCUCCAAAAUUAAUUUGUAAUUAUAAUUUAGGCUUUUAUGCAUUUGCAAGUGGUGAAUCUGACACGGUUUUUUGGUGAAAAAAUUUUUAAAUAUGUACAACACUAUUUGCUUGUCCUGUUCAUGAAAAGUGGACUGUAAUUUUACUGCAAAUUUUACUGCAUUGAAAUAUAACCUUGAACCUUUCACUGUUCAACUUAGUUUUCGAUCCUGAACAACUUUUCAUUUAACAAAAAUUUCUCAAGUUGAUGGUCAAGGCCACCUUUAUCGACCUUUUUUGAAAAAUUUUAUUUCAAGGGAUGAUAUAGCCCUCUUAGAUUUUUUUGGAGUUCGGGGCUGAAAUGUAGCCCGUGAAAAUCUGCACAAGCACACCAAGUUUUAGAGGUUCACAAAUAGUUUGCUGUAAUUUGAAAGUGAAAGUUAAAAUUCGGCUCGAUGCCGCUCGAUCGAGCAAUUUGAGCAUGGCCAUCGGUCAGCGAGUUCGCCGAUCAUUCGUUGAUAAUAUUUUUACCCAUUCCAUUUGAUUAGACACAACAAGAGGACCAAGAAUAGUUAUAGUAAGGUCAAAAUCAACCUUCAGGGUCUGAACCUGACUAGACCCUGAGAUAAUAAUUUCGAAAAUUUCCAAUUUCAUCAAGCAUGGUGUAUUUUAACAGGUUUUCACCGCUUUACAGCUCAAUAGAACAGCCAAAACUGCCGAUUGACAAUCCUGAAACCGGUUCAUGAAAUAAUUGUGGAAGCCAUUAAUCCAGACGUGACGAUAAAAAUGGUUGAAAUUUGAAAUCGGCAGUUUUGACUGUUGUUAGAGCGGUGAUAAUAGCCUAUGAAAAGACACUAAGUGUGACGAAAUUGUUUUUUUUUUAAUUUUUAUCUUAGGAUCUCGUCAGGUACAGACCCUGAAGGUUGAUUUCGACCUUAAUAUGUCUACACUGGGCCCUCUUGUUGUGUCUAAUCAAAUGGUGUAGGUAAAAAUAUUCUCGACGAAUGAUGGGCGAACUCGCCGACUAAAGGCCGUGCUCGAUCGAGCGGCAUCGAGCCGGAUUUUAAUUUUCAAAUUCAAAUUACAGCAAAACUACUGUUGCACCUUUGAAACUUGGUAGGCUUGUGCAGAAUUUCAAGGGCUACAAUUCAGCCCUGAACCCCAAAAAGAUCUAAGGGUUGUAUCAUCCCUUGAUUUUGAAUUUUUGAGUAAAGGUCGCAAAAGGUGACCUUGACCUUUGCCCUGCGAAUUUUUUGUAGGUUGAUAAGUUGUUCAUGGUGGAAAACUAUGAUAGACAAUGAAAAUUUCAAGGUGAUAACUUAACCCAGUAAAGAGUUACAGUCCACCCUUCAUUCACAUAAUUUGAUUUUCGGGGAUUUAUAAAAAUAGGGAUCUUCAAAUUUGAUGUAUAAUUAUUUAAUUGUACUUUAAUUGUUGUAUGAAUAUCAUCCAAUAAAAGUGCUGCCCAUCUAGCUGCCCACUGAAGGUAACCGCAGGCGGGCACCCAAUGGUUACCUUUUGGCUACCUCUUACCUCGGGCUGUCAUUUUGCGCUAUACUGAAAUUUAACUUUUUUAAAGGACAGAGUCAAUUGACCUGCCACCAGUGCCACCUGACAGCCCUAGAUAAAAGGUGGCCAAAAGGUAACCAUUGGCUGCCCACUGGUGGUAACCUCAGCCGGGCACCCGAUGGUUAGCUUUUGGUCAA